rnacentral:rRNA from 1 species
GUCGAGCGAUGAAGCACCUUCGGGUGUGAAUUAGCGGCGAACGGGUGAGGAACACGUGAAGAAUCUGCCUUCAACUCUGGGAUAACUCCGGGAAACCGGGGCUAAUACCGGAUAUGAGCCUUGAUCGCAUGAUCGGGGCUGGAAAGUUUUUCGGUUGAAGAUGACUUCGCGGCCUAUCAGCUUGUUGGUGAGGUAAUGGCUCACCAAGGCGACGACGGGUAGCCGGCCUGAGAGGGCGACCGGCCACACUGGGACUGAGACACGGCCCAGACUCCUACGGGAGGCAGCAGUGGGGAAUAUUGGGCAAUGGAGGAAACUCUGACCCAGCGACGCCGCGUGAGGGAUGAAGGCCUUCGGGUUGUAAACCUCUUUCAGUAGGGAAGAAGCGAAAGUGACGGUACCUACAGAAGAAGCACCGGCUAACUAUGUGCCAGCAGCCGCGGUAAUACAUAGGGUGCAAGCGUUGUCCGGAAUUAUUGGGCGUAAAGAGCUCGUAGGUGGUUCGAUACGUCGGAUGUGAAAAUCAGGGGCUCAACCCCUGACCUGCAUCCGAUACGGUCGAGCUAGAGUUUGGUAGGGGAGACUGGAAUUCCUGGUGUAGCGGUGGAAUGCGCAGAUAUCAGGAGGAACACCGAUGGCGAAGGCAGGUCUCUGGGCCAAUACUGACACUGAGGAGCGAAAGCGUGGGGAGCGAACAGGAUUAGAUACCCUGGUAGUCCACGCCGUAAACGGUGGGCGCUAGUUGUGCGAACCUUCCACGGUUUGUGCGACGCAGCUAACGCAUUAAGCGCCCCGCCUGGGGAGUACGAUCGCAAGAUUAAAAAUCAAAUGAAUU